UUCGCAAAGCAAGGAGCAGAGACUUGAUUUUUUUCUUUUCUGAACUUACAAACAGCUGACACUGGUUUCGCACCAAAAGGAGGGAACCUUUUUUUUUCCCAAUAUCUAUCUUGUGGCUGACCACAAAUAAGUCUUACAACAUGCUCACUUAUCCACUCGUAUCAUCCUCACUGGCCGCUGCCGCUGCCGCCGCCACCACCGCUUUGCUGCUCUCCUCCGCGCUUCUCCCUGGCUCUCGCGCCCGCCGCUGUGCGGCACCAGGCGCCACCGCGCGUCGAGGUACAGGGUGAGGGCGAACCUCCACGGGCUGGACUCCACCCGGGGGUCUCCACGCGACAUCGACGCACCGCCGCCGUCUCGCCCUCGCUGUUCCAGCCGCCGCACCGAACCGAGUGCCGCCGCGCUUCGGGUGCAGGGUGAGGGCGAGCCUCUCCACGGGAUCCGUCGGGGCGCUCCUCGCGGGUGGCCGCCGCAGUCGUCUCAACCUCUGCCCCCGCCGUUGUAUCGCAUCGGGUGCCACCGGGCGUCGGGUUCCAGGGUGGGGGCGAGCCACCACGGGCUGCACUCCAUCGAGGGCCUCCAGGCAGCGCUCGAGCGCGCGGAGGCGGCGCUCUGCACGCUCGCCGACGCAGAACAGUCGCGAAUCCUGAUAUUCAGAGGGCCAGAAGUAUGUCAGGUGGUGGUGGGCUAUCUAGUGAUUGUGAUGAGGAAGUGGCGACUAAUAUGGGGAUCAGCUACACAACGAAUAUUUGGAGGCGGCUGGAGGGGGAGUGUGCAGUUGUUUCGCGCCGCUCUAUGGCUCAUUGUUGCAAGACAUACUGGUGCGUUGCUUUCUUUACUGCUGAUGUAGAGAAGACUUGAUGCCCAGUUCGCGCUAGUAGUCUGGAGGUCACUGGUGCCCCGUUCUUCCUAUUAUUCACUUGGAGGAGGUCACUGUCAAUCUGUCAUAACGGGCUAGGGAAACGAGGACUCACUGCCCAACAUGAUGGAGGAAGGAGGAAGCAAGAAAGAAGUCGAUGUUCUUUCUGGGGUCAGCUUUAUACUUCCAGGGAUGAUUUUUCUUCCGCAGCAGUUCCUUCCUUUUUUUUAUAAUGGAUUUCGCUGGUUCUGUACAUUAGGAUACGGUGGUCUUGGACAUCAAUGUAGGCUUUGGUUCCCUUUUUAUUUGAUGUCAGCAAUGAAAAAAUCUGGGGAAAAAGAUGGAUGCUGCGACUGUAUUUGCGUGGUUUCAGGGUUAGAUAGGAUGCAUGUCAUUUUUUCCACCGGGUCCAUGGGCUGGAAAGCACAUGGCUUUGAGCAAACGCACAGUCCUAGCGUUUGGCACGCGCGGGAUUAGCUGUUCCUUUUUUUUGGAAAGAAACGUGAUUUUGUGUCUUUCCUAAAGUAGGUUGUCCGAACUGACCACUUUUUUUUUCUUAAAUAGUGGCUGACCACUAUGUAGUCAAGCCCUUUUUUUUGCAGGGAAAAAGGAGGAAACCUUGUGAACCGUUCCUAUUCUUUGAAGUGCAGUUCAAAGAGCACAAAGGAUUCGCUUCUCCGAAAAUAAAAUUGGAAGCUGCUAGCAGAAGUGGGUUAGGCAAACAAAGUCCAGAGUGUAAUUACCGGGGAGAAAAAAAUACCUGAAGUAUAUAUAGCUAUCGUACUACUGCAAUAAACCAUAACUGCAGGCCCGCAGCUGCGGCCUGCUGGGGUUCAGCAAUAGAGCGCAUGCAGAGCCAGACCGAAUGAGUGAAUGACACACACCCUGAAUGGCUGAACUCUCAUACAGUACUAGUAAUGGCGUUUCAGGAUUUUUUUGGCGGUUCAACUACACGUCUACUCCCUCCGUCCACGAAUAAGUGUACAUCUAGGUUUUGUGUUUAGUCAAACUUUUUAAACUUUGACUAAAUAUAUAGGGAAAAGUAAUAGCAUUUAUGACACUAAUUUAGUACCCCGAGAUUCGUUUUGAAAUGUAGUUUCAAAUUAUAC